AUUGAACGCUGGCGGCAGGCUUAACACAUGCAAGUCGAGCGGGGGAAGGUAGCUUGCUACCGGACCUAGCGGCGGACGGGUGAGUAAUGCUUAGGAAUCUGCCUAGUAGUGGGGGACAACAUCUCGAAAGGGAUGCUAAUACCGCAUACGUCCUACGGGAGAAAGCAGGGGAUCUUCGGACCUUGCGCUAAUAGAUGAGCCGAAGUCGGAUUAGCCAGUUGGUGGGGUAAAGGCCUACCAAGGCGACGAUCUGUAGCGGGUCUGAGAGGAUGAUCCGCCACACUGGGACUGGGACACGGCCCAGACUCCUACGGGAGGCAGCAGUGAGGAAUAUUGGACAAUGGGGGGAACCCUGAUCCAGCCAUGCCGCGUGUGUGAAGAAGGCCUUAUGGUUGUAAAGCACUUUAAGCGAGGAGGAGGCUACUCUAGUUAAUACCUAGGGAUAGUGGACGUUACUCGCAGAAUAAGCACCGGCUAACUCUGUGCCAGCCGCCGCCGUAA
rnacentral:rRNA from 1 species